rnacentral:lncRNA from 1 species
CGUUGGAUAUCGUUCAGGUUGUAAAACUGUUAUCAACCUGAUUUGAUUGACGAAUCCUCGAAACUUGGAAUGUGUUCCAUCAAACUUAUUUGGAAGGCUAACUCGAGGCUCCUUAUGUUGUAGAAUUAGUGGUUCUUGUCGAACCUGAGGUAAAGUUGUUUCUCCAAGUGCCGAAAUUUGAGGCUAGUGUAGUUUAGAUUGUGCUAUCCCAGAUACUCCAUCAUUAUGAAGCCUUUCCACCACUCCUUCAAUCUCUGCAGUUCUUUGUGAUAACGUAGCGAGGGCAUUCAUAAUAGCAUCUAACUUAGACUCCAAACUUU